UCAAACAAUCGGUUUCAUUGCACUUGAUAAGAAAACAACAUAUCUCAGAGAAAGGAAGUUUCCCCAAAUUAAGAACAAUACGAGUGCAUAUCUUCAAAGGUGAUGUGCCUACAAUGUUGUUAUGCCUGCAAAAAUUGAUGCAUUUGAAUGAGCUAGAAAUCCAAUUAUAUAAGAUCAUUGAAAGGUUCGCUCGUAAUCCGGAGGAAGUGCUACAAAGUUUGAAACACUUAACACAUCUGAGUAUUCUAAAAAUCAAUUACCUCCCCAACCUUGUAACACAUGUGACCAUGUUUCCUCCCAACAUUACCAAGUUAGCAUUGGUAGGUAUUGACCGCUUGAAUGAUGACGGGAUGAAAGUUAUUGGAAGUCUCGCCAAACUCCAAAUUUUUAUCUUAAGUGGAUCAUUUGACGGCAGUUUUGACUGGGGUUCAUAUAUUGAUUUUAAUUUUGCUCAAGAUGGGUUCCCACAGUUGCAGGAGUUUCAAAUGGCAGAUUUUCUAAUUAGAAACUGGAAAUUAGCCAAUGGUUCGAUGUCACGCCUUCAAAUUCUCACUGUAGACAACUGUCCUGUGUUGGACAGCCUCCCAAGUGAACUGUGGUCUUUGACUACCUUAAGAAAAGUCUGUGUUCGAAAACCCUCCGAUGCAAUGGCUGCAAUGUUACAAAAUUUGGAAGUUAUAAAGGAAUGUGAGCUCAUUGUAGAAUAAUUAGACUUGUAACUAGGUUUUUUUAUUAGCUUUGAUCCUGCAGAAUUUACGGUUACAUUUUUAUGCAAUGACUUACAUUCAUUGUUGAUUCGGCUUAUUUGUUUUUGUUUGAGCAAUUUAUUUUAUUCAUAGUUUUAACAAUCUAUUAUGCUAUUAAAGAGGGAAUUAACUCUAAAGCAUUGAUUACAAGCAGCUGGAACGCAGUGACAGCACUGUCACAGCGCUGCAGCAAGGAUUUUCAGUAUAUGUUGCACAGUGGACUGGGUGACUGCAGGGUGUGUCGUGACGCUGUUUUGGUUCCUAUGGCAGAAUAGAAAUGACGUUGUAUGGAGUGGCGAAAGGAAUACUGCUACACAGCCACAGGUUGGACUGCUAGCUUUUAAUUUAUGUGAAUAACAAGCAGCAGCAGCAGCAACAGACUCAUCAUACUUCAGCGCCUGAAGUGCAUCCAUGGGAAAAGUUGCAUCACGGUUGUAUUAAAUGCAACGUUGAUGUGGGAGUUUUAGAGGCUGAUGGCAUUGACCGGUUGGAAAAAUGCAGCGCUGAUGGGACAGCUUGUCUGUAACGGCAUGAUGUUUUUGAGACUCAGCUUGUCUGUUUGCUGCAUUGACCGGUUGGAGAAAUGCAACGCUGAUAGCUUUAAUUAACUCGCGUCGCUCUGGAAAUUCUGAAGUUAGUUUAAUAGUUUCUACCAUUGUUAAUGUUAUGGCAUCAAAUGUAAAAACUUUGAGGUCAAUUUUGUUAGGAGACAAGUCUCUAUGUUAGUGAGUUUAUUCCUACUUAUAUUGAACAUCAUUUGAAUAAUGAAUGAGCUAAAUUGAUUUUGGUCAAACAAAAAACUCAAGUAUUUUGUUCAGAUUUUAUGAAAAUCUACCAUGUGCUUUNNNNNNNNNNNNNNNNNNNNNNNNNNNNNNNNNNNNNNNNNNNNNNNNNNNNNNNNNNNNNNNNNNNAAAAGAAGACGGUCAAUAACGAUUACGGAGGAAAGAUUGGAUAGAGCAAUGGCCACUCAACAAUAGAUUGAUGAAUUUCCUCAUUAUAAGUUCAUUAAUGUCACAGUUAACUACUCACCGAUAUUAAUUAGCGCUGCGUAUGUUCAGAAGCAAGUUGAUGAGAGUAUUCAAGUUCAAAAAUUCUUAGUUGAGGUCGAACGUGUAUACCUUUUGUUAUGAAGAUGUGAUCUUAUCCACCGAACCAAUCGAUCUAGCCAUGAGCAGGUUGAAGAAGUCGAGUAGUCGUAAUUCGAAAAAAAAUGAAGGUGGGGAUGGGCAGUAGCAUCGAGACCUCAUAGAAGAGCCAUUUUUCUCGCAGGCUCCCUUUUGGAUAAUGCUGUAAUCUGCAUCUCCCGGAGUUGGGGAAUCUAGGCCUAAUCUAUUAGAAUAGGUCUAGGUUGGCAGGUCGUAGCCCGAGCCUUACAACUUUAUCGGCUCAAGCAAUUUUUACCUUAGACUGGAGCGCAUUCACUCAUAGGACGACCAUCAUGUACUUGUACUCAAGUGACGAUGACCAUCUCAAACGUAAAACUUUUAAAGAACCUAUAAAUGCAUUUUGUUUUUUAUAAAUAAACAAAAAAGUUGUUUCAUGAAAGUAUUUUCUUUUUUUGUCAAGUAAUUUAGUGUUCAAUAUUUUACCUUUUAAGAUAAAUAAGUAGAGGAUUGAGAUGCAGAGGAUGACCCUCUAUGAGUCUAUUGAUGACUGCUUCAGAUUCAUGAACAAAUCCCACUACAUUUUCCUCCUCCACAUUUCUUCUUAAUCUUUGCAGCGACCGUUUCCUCUCUUCCUCUUCUGUUGCUGAUGUUGAUUGGUUACUGCUUUGUUUAAGCACCAAAGACCAUUCAUGUGUCCGCUCUUUGUUUGUCUCUGAUCCGAACUACUUCGUUGAAAACGACGAGUGGAAAUGGCUUACCAAAGACUUCUAAUUGGUUCGGGUAUUGGAUCUUGAGAGAAGAUAUUAUUUUAAGUUUCCUUCCAAUUUGGGUAACUUUAUUCACUUGAGGUACUUAAGAAUAGGCUCAGAUUCUUUUUGCAGUGUUCCAGAUUCUAUAUGCAACAUUAUGCUUUGAAUCGCCAACCCUGCGUGACUUUCUUGGCAUCCCAAUUUCAUUUCCAUAUGGAAUAAUAAAGCUCAAGCAUCUAACACAUGUGUAUUCUAAUAGGCCUAUCGUGCUACGCGGCAGCAGUUCCAAAUUAGAUGGUGAAGUUAUGUGGCGCCUUCAAACAAUCAGUUUCCUUGCACUUGAUAAGAAAACAACAUAUCUCAUAGAGAAAGGAAGUUUCCCCAAAUUAAGAACAAUACGAGUGCAGAUCUUCAAAGGUGAUGUGCCUACAAUGUUGUUAUGCCUGCAAAAAUUGAAGCAUUUGAGGGAGCUAGAAAUCUACAUCCAAUUACAUAUGUCCAUCCUAUCGAGGAUCAGUCGUAAUCCUGAGGAAGUGCUACAAAGUUUGAAACACUUAACACAUCUGAGUAUACUGAAAAUUACCAAGUUAACAUUGGUACGUAUUGAACAAUUGAAUGGUAACGGGAUGAAAGCUAUUGGAAGUCUUGCCAAACUCCAAAUUCUGAUCUUAAGCGGAAUAUUUUACGACAAACGGGAUUUGGUUCCAUUUUUUUAUCUUAAUUUUGUUCAAGAUGAGUUCCCACAGAUGCAGCAGUUUCAGAUGAUAAAUUUUCCUAUUAAAACCUGGAAAUUAGCCAAUGGUUCGUUGCCACGCCUUCAAUGUCUCAUUGUUCACAACUGUGGUACUCCCUCCGUCCCAAAUUAUAAGGGAAAAUAAAAAAAUCACACUUAUUAAGAAAAAGUAAAACAUGAGAAUUUGAAGUAUGAUUUUGUGGGUUUUCCUUGGAAUAAGUUGCAUAGGAAGAUGUAAAAAUAAUUUUUAUUGGUUGUUGUUUAUUGAGAAAAUGAGAGAGAGAAGAAAUUAAAUGCAAUUUGCAUUUAAUUUUAUGAAAAUAAGGAAAAAUCAUUCUUGAAAAUGAUUUUUUCUCUUAUAAUUUGGGACAAAAAAAUGGUCUUUUUUCCCUUAUAAUUUGGGACGGAGGGAGUAUGUUGGAUAGCCUCCCAAGUGAAUUGUGGUCUUUGACUACCUUAAGAAAAGUGUGUGUUCAGAAACCCUCUGAUGCAAUGACUGCAAUGUUACAAAAUUU
rnacentral:lncRNA from 1 species